rnacentral:rRNA from 1 species
AGACCCGAAACCCGGUGAUCUAGCCAUGGGCAGGUUGAAGGUUGGGUAACACUAACUGGAGGACCGAACCGACUAAUGUUGAAAAAUUAGCGGAUGACCUGUGGCUGGGGGUGAAAGGCCAAUCAAACCGGGAGAUAGCUGGUUCUCCCCGAAAGCUAUUUAGGUAGCGCCUCGUGAAUUCAUCUCCGGGGGUAGAGCACUGUUUCGGCUAGGGGGCCAUCCCGGCUUACCAACCCGAUGCAAACUGCGAAUACCGGAGAAUGUUAUCACGGGAGACACACGGCGGGUGCUAACGUCCGUCGUGAAGAGGGAAACAACCCAGACCGCCAGCUAAGGUCCCAAAGUCAUGGUUAAGUGGGAAACGAUGUGGGAAGGCCCAGACAGCCAGGAUGUUGGCUUAGAAGCAGCCAUCAUUUAAAGAAAGCGUAAUAGCUCACUGGUCGAGUCGGCCUGCGCGGAAGAUGUAACGGGGCUAAACCAUGCACCGAAGCUGCGGCAGCGAACGUAUCACUUAAAGCGAUUCAGCGGGU